rnacentral:tRNA from 1 species
GGGCGCAUAGCUCAGCUGGAUAGAGUACCUGGCUACGAACCAGGCGGUUGGAGGUUCACUCUUAGAAGAUACGUCCUGCGCCCACCA